CCAGACUCCUACGGGAGGCAGCAGUGGGGAAUAUUGCACAAUGGGGGAAACCCUGAUGCAGCGACGCCGCGUGAGUGAAGAAGUAUUUCGGUAUGUAAAGCUCUAUCAGCAGGGAAGAAAAUGACGGUACCUGACUAAGAAGCCCCGGCUAACUACGUGCCAGCAGCCGCGGUAAUACGUAGGGGGCAAGCGUUAUCCGGAUUUACUGGGUGUAAAGGGAGCGUAGACGGCAUGGCAAGUCAGAUGUGAAAGCCCGGGGCUCAACCCCGGGACUGCAUUUGAAACUGUCAGGCUGGAGUGCAGGAGAGGUAAGUGGAAUUCCUAGUGUAGCGGUGAAAUGCGUAGAUAUUAGGAGGAACACCAGUGGCGAAGGCGGCCUGCUGGACGACAACUGACGGUGAGGCGCGAAAGCGUGGGGAGCAAACAGGAUUAGAUACCCUGGUAC
rnacentral:rRNA from 1 species